UACGGGGGGGGCAAGCGUUGUUCGGAAUUAUUGGGCGUAAAGGGCGCGUAGGCGGCUUGUUAAGUCGGCUGUGAAAGCCCGGGGCUCAACCCCGGAGGGUCAGCCGAUACUGGCAGGCUAGAGUACGGAAGAGGUAGCUGGAAUUCCGGGUGUAGCGGUGGAAUGCGUAGAGAUCCGGAAGAACACCGGUGGCGAAGGCGGCCUGCUGGGCAGUUUGGCUGACACUGAGGCGCGACAGCGUGGGGAGCAAACAGG
rnacentral:rRNA from 1 species